rnacentral:rRNA from 1 species
CAGUCGCCACGGUAAUACAGAGGGUGCAAGCGUUAAUCGGAAUUACUGGGCGUAAAGCGCGCGUAGGUGGUUUGUUAAGUUGGAUGUGAAAUCCCCGGGCUCAACCUGGGAACUGCAUCCAAAACUGGCAAGCUAGAGUAUGGUAGAGGGUGGUGGAAUUUCCUGUGUAGCGGUGAAAUGCGUAGAUAUAGGAAGGAACACCAGUGGCGAAGUCGACCACCUGGACUGAUACUGACACUGAGGUGCGAAAGCGUGGGGAGCAAACAGGAUUAGAUACCACCGUAGUCCCUGUCUCUUAUAC